rnacentral:rRNA from 1 species
ACUGACCCUAGCCCAAACAACUAUAAACCCAACAAUAACCUCAACCUAAGCUAAAACAUUUAAUCCGCAAGAGUAGUAUAGGAGAUAGAAACUCAACUAAGGCGCUAUAGAGAAAGUACCGUAAGGGAAAGAUGAAAGAUGAAGCAACAGUAAAAAAAAGCAAAGAUUAACCCUUGUACCUUUUGCAUAAUGAACUAGCCAGAAUACGCCUAGCAAAGAGAACUUUAGUUAGACACCCCGAAACCAGACGAGCUACUUACGAGCAGCUAAUAGAGCAAAUUCAUCUAUGUAGCAAAAUAGUGAAGUGACUUGUGAGUAGAGGUGAAAAGCCAACCGAGCCUGGUGAUAGCUGGUUGUCCAGUACAGAAUUUCAGUUCAACCUUAAGUCCAUGCCUGAAGAAAAUUUAAUCCUAAUGUAUACUUAAGCGUUAAUCUAAGGGGGUACAGCUCCUUAGAACCAGGAAAAACCUUAAUUAGAGAGUAAAAACAUAUAAACCCAUAGUUGGCUUAAAGGCAGCCAUCAAUUGAGAAAGCGUUCAAGCUCAACAGUUCAAAUCAAUAAUAAUACCAUAAUUAGCAACCAACUCCUAAACCGAAACUGGACUAAUCUACACCAAUGUAGAUGAGAUAAUGCUAGUAUUAGUAACGAGAAAUCAUUCUCCCUGCACAAGCCUAUAUCAGACCGGAUGCCCACUGAUAGUUAACAACGUAAUAAAUAUAAGCACAACUCAAGAUUACUUAUUAUGUAGACUGUUGGCCCGACACAGGAGUGCACAAAACUUAAGGGAAAGAUUAAAAAGAGUAAAAGGAACUCGGCAAACUCAAACCCCGCCUGUUUACCAAAAACAUCACCUCUAGCAUAAAAAGUAUUAGAGGCAAUGCCUGCCCAGUGACACAAGUUAAACGGCCGCGGUAUCCUGACCGUGCAAAGGUAGCAUAAUCAUUUGUUCCUUAAAUAGGGACUUGUAUGAACGGCCACACGAGGGUUUAACUGUCUCUUACUCUCAAUCAGUGAAAUUGACCUCCCCGUGAAGAGGCGGGGAUACAAAAAUAAGACGAGAAGACCCUAUGGAGCUUUAAUUAACCAACUCACAUGCAACAGACACAACUCGAUAUGGGAUAAACAAUGCAUUCUGAGCUGGCAAUUUCGGUUGGGGUGACCUCGGAGAAUAGAAAAUCCUCCGAAGCUAACAAGCCUAGACACUACAAGUCAAAGCACCAUACCAAGCAAUUGAUCCAACAAGUUGAUCAAUGGAACCAGUUACCCUAGGGAUAACAGCGCAAUCCUAUUAUAGAGUCCAUAUCGACAAUAGGGUUUACGACCUCGAUGUUGGAUCAGGACAUCCUAAUGGUGCAGCCGCUAUUAACGGUUCGUUUGUUCAACGAUUAAAGUCCUACGUGAUCUGAGUUCAGACCGGAGUAAUCCAGGUCGGUUUCUAUCUAUUAGAUGCUCCUCCCAGUACGAAAGGACAAGAGGAACAGGGCCAACUCACCAAGCACGCCCUAAACUGAAUGGAUGAGUAAAUCUAAACCUAGAAGGUUAUCGCAACCCCUGCCCAAGAGCAGGGCUU